GAGAGACACAGGGAAAGAAAUAGAGCAGACCUUAACAGACGUGUACAGUCGUCAGACAGGGAUGAGGUAAGAAGGUGCCGGCAAGAGGCAGUGACUUUGAGAGAGUGGUCCAAGUGAAUCCGCUUGUGGGAGGAUGAGCAAGGUGAGAGGUGGACAAGAGUUAAGAAAGUGAUGGCUUUAGCAUGAGGGAAAGGUCACUGAAGAUUUCCUCCUUGAUGGACAUUGGAAAAAGGACUUCAAAGAAGAGAAACACGAGCUGAAAAGGUACUUAUGACUCACUGUUUUGACUCUUGAGAAAGACUGGAUGAUUGUCACAGAUCGGAAAUGACUACAAAUAUGACAUAGGCAGAACAAUUCAGGCCACAGAGCAACAAUCUGAGCAGGAGUUAAAGAAAAGAGACUAAAAUAGAAACGCUGCAAAUGAGAAAACAUGCCAGUCUACGCACCACGCCGAAGACAGCAUGGAAACUUUAACUGUGACAACGACACAGCAAGAGACUCCUAUUAAAAAUUCAUGCUGACAGGCCACUCUGGAAACAACUUGCUUCCUCCGCGACAGAGGGGAAAACAGGGAAGGGAAAACUGUUUUCAUCAUGUGGGUUUUUUGCACUAGACAAGUUGGCAAGUAUGUCAGGUUAUGUUGACAUCCUGCAGCCAACUGAGCUGUACACAUCGUAGUGGCCGGCACGUGGCCUCAUGGAGGUGCUCAGUCAGGUGUGAGGAAAGAGCAAUGACGACUUGCAGAAGAACCGGAGCUGUGACUGUCAAGAGAAAAGAAAUAAACAUUUGCAACACCAUUAAAAUUAAAUGGGGCUGCAGCCAUAUCUAUUUUGAGAGCUAAAUGAAUUAUCGGCUUAAAUAGACAAUUACAUUUUUAAAAGACUAAUGACCUGCUUUGAAAUCCACUAAGUGUUACUAAUUAUUGCCAGCUACCAAUCUGUUUUUUUUUUUUUUUCUUCUUCUUUUUUUAAAUUUUCAUCUUGGGCAGAAUACAACCUUUCUGACUUUCCCUGAAAAAAAAAAAAGCCUUAUUUUUGGUAAUCUUCCAGUGUUGGAUUCCUUUAAAAGCUUAAGAAAGCACAACAUUGUUUUUUGUUUUUUGCACCAGAAGGAUCUUGAAUGCAUAUCUUUUUUGUAUCUCUGCAGCAAAAUACCUCUUGAUAGAUGACUCUCAACAUUGAUAGAUCUUAAUUUCAUCAAGCCAUAAGCCCUUCACUCUGACCUGAAUAUCCAAUUCCUAAAAAAAACACAUUAAUAAAGCAGGGCAACAGUCUAUAGCCGUUGAAAGACCAGAUUCGUGUUCAUGUUUGUGCAUAUACUCCUGAGUACCUUUGCUAUCCAUGUUCGAGUGAUGCCAUAGACCUGUGUGUGCUGAUCAAGCUUUGUGUUUGAACAUUCACCCCCUCCAAAUGACACCCGGAGAACCAUGUGUUGCUUUGAUGCAGCCCACCAGCAACAAAGCUGGAAAUGAACAGCAGUGGUGAGCGGGGGGCACUGAGACGAGGAGAAUAGGAAGGAUAAAGGAACUGACGGGCAACAGGAUUGGAAAAAACUGACAUCAUGCUCGGAUAAACAGAAGAAAGAAAAGUGUUUCUGGCUGCCCCUCGGGUGCAAUGUGUGGCGCCGUGCCCUGUGGUGGUGGGGUUCUGUGAUGGUAACCAUGAUCGCCGGCAGCCACUAUAUCUGCAGCACUCAUGCAAGAGAGGAUGACUCCACAAAUGAUCGAGAGGAGCGGAUUUUAGCAGUGCUGGGCAUCAUUGGGACCAUUCUGAAUCUUUUAGUGGUCAUAUUUGUCUACAUCUACACUUCUGUAACUUAAGACAGACCUGAACACGAACGAAUGGCACCUACUCAACGUCCCUUUCACCAUACAUCUCUUCAAGUAUUUAUGUGCUUGGACGGUUAGAUCAUUAUGUGUUAAGAUAGAAGGAUCCUUGGCAGUGAGUUCUGUUGGCUUGUCGCCAACUGCAACUACAUCCAUUCACUGCUGUAAGAAUAGUUUUCCAUUUACUCAAGACUUCUGUCAAAUGUCGCGAUAGAGGUGCGUUCCAUGAUGCCCCUUGUCUCACUUCUUUCUCAUAUUUUACUUGUCAUCCUAACGCAGCCUCAUGCCAAGUCAUAGGUGACAGUGAUUACCAAAAAUUACGACUUGGGCUUUCUUUGUGGAUGGGAUUUUAUCCGAUAGUGGAUUUUACUGUGCUGCUUUUAAUACUGACUAUUGAAGAAGUUUAUGUCAAUGUUUCUGUUUGUACGGUUGGCUUUUUUCACUGUCAUGUGAAUAUUUAAUCCAAUGGACCAAGCAAAUGUAGCAGCCUGACAAGUAGGCUACUAAGAACUAUCGACGGAUGAACAUUUGUGCCUCUUCUUAAAAUUUGCUACUUAAUAUGAUUUACCUAAUAACAUAAUAUUAGUUGUUGUAGUGAGCAGCAUUUAAAAACAUUUCCAUGGAUUUAACGUGUCCAUACCUUAGCACACCAGAGGAAAGAUUCCUGGCAGUGCUUGGGGUCAUUGGCAUUAUGCUCAACCUCUUACUGCUUGCCUUUGUCUACAUAUACACAUCUGUUUGAGAAGCCGCUUCCUCAAAAAAACAUCGACAACAAAAACGAUUACAUAUUCUACUGUGAAAAGGGAUUAUUUUCUCUAAACAAGCAAAUAUCCUGGGGUUGUGUUUAUAUUACAUCUCUCAAAAUUGAAAUACAUAUGUCCUCUUAAUAUAUAUGCUAUUUUGACAAAGGUUUGCACCCUUCAGGUUUUGUUGCAUAAACCCACUUUAGUCCAGAUGAACAUCAUGGCAUGUUUACUUAAACUUGCUUUGCCAUGACCUUAGACAGAUGUAAUUGAAUUAAUGCUGUUUGUGCUAAAUGCCUUUCCAUGUUCAAACCAUAAAACACUCAAAGAUGGAAUGAAAGCGUGUCGACAAGUUUGCGCAGCGGCUCAUCACAAAACGCAAAGAUCCCUCUGUGGUUGCUCGGUGUCAUAGGAUAAUGGCUUAUCUCCUGUUGCAAUGCCUUUUUGGUUGGAUCUGUCAGGCUUUUGCAGAGCACUAUCAGAGGUGGGAAAGUUCAAAACGGAGACAUUGUCACUUAAAUCAAGACUGUGUACUGUUACAACAUGACUUCAAAGUACAAUAUUUUUGUAAAGGAGAUGAGCAGAGACAAUGGGGAUUGUUUGACAAAAGAACAGCUGAAGCAUCUGUUCCCGCUUUCUCAUCACAGGAAGAUGCGGAAAAUGAUCUGCGAAUAGGUUCUUUUUCCACUGGUGAUGCAUGUCAGUGUAUAUAUGAUUUGGGGUACCGUGAAUUCAAGGGAGGGAAAAACGCACAUCGUAAGAGAAGAGGAAGGAUGGGUUUAAACCUUCAUCAGAUCCUCAUAAUUCUCUUUGCUACCAAUAAGUUAAAACCAGAGAAAACAUAAUACCAACUGGACCCACACAAAUCUCCCCAGCAAAGCACAUUACUUUUCUAUUGCCACCAGUGUAUCUGAAAGCCGAGGCCAAGCUGACACAUGGGCCGCAAAAGUAAGCUGGGCAACUUGCAAACUUCUUCUCCCAAUACAAUAUAUCAUUUUUUGCUUCCGAAAUUAACUAUUUCAACAAAAAACUUUUUUUUUUCUUUUAAUCAUACUUACAAUUAAAGUAGCGUUGUACUUAAGCAAAUCUGCAUUACUCGUUGAACGCCUUUAUAUUAUUAGAUUCACUCAAUGGCCAUGUCUAUACAAAUAAGCAGUCAGGGUUCUCUGAUAGUAUAAUAAGGUUUGGUUCAUAACUUGUAUGAUUUGUUAAACAUACUGUACCACAACCAGGGAAAACAGAUAACAAAAAAAUUGUAAAUCAUUGUAUUUCAUUCAACCACUUCUGUCAUUGAGAUGAAAAGUGUUGGUACUACCCAAACAUGUAUUUGCGUCAUCACAUUCACAGAUGAAUCAAUUGGUUUAGUUUGGACAUGGUAAAUCAUGGUCAUCGGGCACUAAAUGAAUUCAAGGUACCAUCGUUGGUUGAUAAUAACUGCUUUUUUUUUCCCUCGACUAAUUAACCUUUGAAUAAAUGUAUCCAUAUGUAUAAAAAUCAAUAUGUGUUUCAUGUAAAUAGCCUCACACAACUGGUGUCAGUAGAACUACUUUAACCACUGAGCAGAAAACAAGAUCAUUGCAUCACUCUUCAUUAAUGACCUUAUAACGUUUAACAUUUUGAAAGAGCAAAGUAUCACCAUGCAGACGUCUAUAUACUAAUAAACGAAAAUGACACUUGUAAACCUACAACAAUCAGUCAUACUGUAUUUCAGACAUUUUAAAUGUCCUCUUAAAUUCUGAACAAGCAAAUACAGUAAAAUGCAUUUAGCGACAGUGCUGCCCAAAAGUAUUGGCACCCCUGCAAUUCUGUCAGAUAAUGCUCAAGUUCUCCCAGAAAAUUAUUGCAACUACAAAUGCUUUGGUAUUAAUAUCUUCAUUUUUUUGCUUGCAAUGAAAAAACACAAAAGAGAAUGUAAAAAAAAAAAAAAAAAUCGUUAUCAUUUUACAUCAAACUCCAAAAAUGGGCCGGACAAAGUAUUGGCGUCCUUUGAAAAAUCAUUUGAUGCUUCUCUAAUUUGUGUAAUUAACAGCACCUGUUAAUUACCUGUGGAACAUAACAGGUGGUGGCAAUAACUAAAUCACACUUGCAGCCAGUUAAAAUGGAUUAAAGUUGACUUAACCUCUUUCCUGUGUCCUUGUGUGUACCACAUUGAGCAUUGAGAAAAGAACGAAGACCAAAGAACUGUCUGAGGACUUUGGAAGCAAAAUAGUGACCUGAAUGUUCCUGUGUCUACCGUGCGCAGUGUCAUCAAUAAGCGUAAAGCCCAUGGCACUGUGGCUAACUUCCCUAGAUGUGGACGGAUAAGACAAGAGAUUUCAAUUUUCACAAGACUGUGCGGAUGGUGGAUAAAGAACCUAGACUAACAUCCAAACAAGUUCAAGCAGUCCUGCAGUCCAAGGGUAAAACAGUGUCAACCCGUACUAUCCGUCAGCGUCUGAAUGAAAAGGGACUCUACGGUAGGAUACCCAGGAAGACCCCACUUCUGACCUAGAGACAUAAAAAAGCCAGGCUGGAGUUUGCCAAAAGUAGAGCUUUUGGGGAAAAGGCAUCAACACCAGUGGCGCCUCCAGAAAUUUUUCAUAGGGGACGCCAGAUGGGGCCACUUAAAAUCUUGGGGUGGCCAAACUAAAAGCCAUAAUUUCAGGUUUUCAUUAUAUUAUUGCAGUAAAAAGGUCAGGGGAAAACUAUCAGAAAGCUUAAGGACAUGGCUACUGUUACACUUUGGUGUAUUGUGUAAUAUUUGAUGUUACUAAUGAUUUAAUGUGCAUAGUCCAUAACUGUCCAGUCAACAUUUAGAGUUCAACAACAAUUCUGUUUUAUUGUGUUAUGUAUAUAUUAGGCAUAAGGUGUACAUUUAACUAGGGCUGUCAAACGAUUAAAAUUUUUUAAUCGAGUUAAUCACAGCUUAAAAAUUAAUUAAUCGUAAUUAAUCGCAAUUCUAGCCAUCUCUAAAAUAUGCCAUAUUUUUCUGUAAAUGAUUGUUGGAAUGGAAAGAUAAGACAAGACAGAUAUAUACAUCCAACAUACUGUACAUAAGUACUGUAUUUGUUUAUUAUAACAAUCAAUCCACAAGAUGGCAUUAACAUUCUUUCUGUGAAAGGGAUCAACGGAUAGAAAGACUUGUAAUUCUUAAAGGAUAAAUGUGAGUUUGUAUAUUGUGACUAAAUAUUGCCAUCUAGUGUAUUUGUUGAGCUUUCAGUAAAUGAUACUGUAGCGACUUAACUGUUCUUCCCAAAUGCAUGAUUGGAAGCUGUGCAACCAUGACUGUGUGUGGUGGCUACAAAUGCUUUAUCUUCUCUGCGUUGGGUACACUACAGGGUGUUAAGAAAAAGAUCAACUCCUGUCAUUCUUCCCCACGUCGCUUCCCACAAUAUUUAUAGUUGCUGUGGGGGCUGAAAAAGCUUUUGCCAAUUAAAAGCACCAAUGAAU